rnacentral:rRNA from 1 species
CGCUGUAGAUGAUAUAGGUGUGGGGGGACUGACCCCCUCCGUGCCGCAGUUAACACAAUAAGUAUUCCACCUGGGGAGUACGGUCGCAAGACUGAAACUCAAAGGAAUUGACGGGGGCCCGCACAAGCAGUGGAUUAUGUGGUUUAAUUCGAAGCAACGCGAAGAACCUUACCAGGGUUUGACAUCCAACUAACGAAGCAGAGAUGCAUUAGGUGCCCUUCGGGGAAAGUUGAGACAGGUGGUGCAUGGUUGUCGUCAGCUCGUGUCGUGAGAUGUUGGGUUAAGUCCCGCAACGAGCGCAACCCUUAUUGCUAGUUGCUACGCAAGAGCACUCUAGCGAGACUGCCGUUGACAAAACGGAGGAAGGUGGGGACGACGUCAAAUCAUCAUGCCCCUUAUAUCCUGGGCUACACACGUAAUACAAUGGCGCAUUAACAGAGGGAAGCAAAGCCGCGAGGUGGAGCAAAUCCCUAAAAGGCGUCUCAGUUCGGAUUGCAGGCUGCAACUCGCCUGCAUGAAGUCGGAAUUGCUAGUAAUCGCGGAUCAGCAUGCCGCGGUGAAUACGUUCCCGGGCCUUGUACACACCGCCCGUCACACCAUGAGAGUCGGGAACACCCGAAGUCCGUAGUCUAACCGCAAGGGGGACGCGGCCGAAGGUGGGUUUGAUAAUUGGGGUGAAGUCGU